rnacentral:rRNA from 1 species
GGGUAAGAUUAAAGGAAGCUACUAAUCCUCAUGUCUAUCUUUUGAGAUUAGACCUCAAAUCAGGUAGGACUACCCGCUGAACUUAAGCAUAUCAAUAAGCGGAGGAAAAGAAACUAACAAGGAUUCCCCUAGUAGCGGCGAGCGAAGCGGGAAGAGCUCAAAUUUGUAAUCUGGCACCUUCGGUGUCCGAGUUGUAAUCUCUAGAAGUGUUUUCCGCGUUGGACCGCACACAAGUCUGUUGGAAUACAGCGGCAUAGUGGUGAUACCCCAUUACACGGUGCGGACGCCCAGCGCUUUGUGAUACACUUUCGACGAGUCGAGUUGUUUGGGAAUGCAGCUCAAAUUGGGUGGUAAAUUCCAUCUAAAGCUAAAUAUUGGCGAGAGACCGAUAGCGAACAAGUACCGUGAGGGAAAGAUGAAAAGCACUUUGGAAAGAGAGUUAAAAGUACGUGAAAUUGUUGGAAGGGAAACGCUUGAAGUCAGACUUGCUUGCCGGGCUUGCUCGGUUUGCAGGCCAGCAUCAGUUUUCUGGGACGGAUAAUGGCAGUUAGAAUGUAGCAGUCUCGGCUGUGUUAUAGCUUUCUGCUGGAUACGUCCUGGGGGACUGAGGAACGCAGCGUGCCGUAUGGCGAGGGCUUUGGUCC